AGUGAACGCUGGCGGUAGGCCUAACACAUGCAAGUCGAACGGCAGCACAGGAGAGCUUGCUCUUUGGGUGGCGAGUGGCGGACGGGUGAGGAAUACAUCGGAAUCUACUCUGUCGUGGGGGAUAACGUAGGGAAACUUACGCUAAUACAGCAUACGACCUACGGGUGAAAGCAGGGGACCUUCGGGCCUUGCGCGAUUGAAUGAGCCGAUGUCGGAUUAGCUAGUUGGCGGGGUAAAGGACCACCAAGGCGACGAUCCGUAGCUGGUCUGAGAGGAUGAUCAGCCACACUGGACAUGAGACACGGUACAGACUCCCACGGGAGGCAGCAGUGGGGAAUAUGGGACAAUGGGCGCAAGCCUGAUCCAGCCAUACCGCGUGGGUGAAGAAGGCCUUCGGGUUGUAAAGCCUUUUUGUUGGGAAAGAAAUCCACCUGGCUAAUACCCGGUUGGGAUGACGGUACCCAAAGAAUAAGCACCGGCUAACUUCGUGCCAGCCGCCGCAGUAA
rnacentral:rRNA from 1 species